GCGUCGUGCGUAGGCACGCCGAGGAAAGUCCGGGCUCCACAGGGCAAGGUGCCAGGUAACGCCUGGGCGGCGCAAGCCGACGGAAAGUGCAACAGAAAGCAAACCGCCAAACUUCGCUGCGCGUUUUCGCGCGCGAAGCGGUAAGGGUGAAAUGGUGCGGUAAGAGCGCACCGCGUGCGGGGCUAACGCCGCACGGCACGGCAAACCCCACCUGGAGCAAGGCCAAAUAGGGACGCAAUGGUGUGGCCCGCACCGCGUCCGGGUAGGCUGCUGGAGUGUCGUGGCGACACGACACCGAGAGGAAUGACUGCCCUUGACAGAACCCGGCUUACAGGCCGGCUCCGCAC
rnacentral:RNase_P_RNA from 1 species